AACGAACGCUGGCGGCAUGCCUAACACAUGCAAGUCGAACGAGACCUUCGGGUCUAGUGGCGCACGGGUGCGUAACGCGUGGUAACCUGCCCUUAGGUUCGGAAUAACUCCCCGAAAGGGGUGCUAAUACCGGAUAAUGUCUUCGGACCAAAGAUUUAUCGCCUAUGGAUGGGCCCGGGUUGGAUUAGCUAGUUGGUAGGGUAAAAGCCUACCAAGGCGACGAUCCAUAGCUGGUCUGAGAGGAUGAUCAGCCACACUGGGACUGAGACACGGCCCAGACUCCUACGGGAGGCAGCAGUGGGGAAUAUUGGACAAUGGGCGAAAGCCUGAUCCAGCAAUGCCGCGUGAGUGAUGAAGGCCUUAGGGUUGUAAAGCUCUUUUACCCGGGAUGAUAAUGACAGUACCGGGAGAAUAAGCUCCGGCUAACUCCGUG
rnacentral:rRNA from 1 species